CCUACGGGUGGCAGCAGUGAGGAAUAUUGGUCAAUGGCCGUAAGGCUGAACCAGCCAAGUCGCGUGAAGGAAGAAGGAUCUAUGGUUUGUAAACUUCUUUUUUAGGGGAAUAAAGGUAUCCACGUGUGGAUAUUUGUAUGUCCCAUAUGAAUAAGGAUCGGCUAACUCCGUGCCAGCAGCCGCGGUAAUACGGAGGAUCCGAGCGUUAUCCGGAUUUAUUGGGUUUAAAGGGAGCGUAGGUGGAUUGUUAAGUCAGUUGUGAAAGUUUGCGGCUCAACCGUAAAAUUGCAGUUGAAACUGGCAGUCUUGAGUACAGUAGAGGUGGGCGGAAUUCGUGGUGUAGCGGUGAAAUGCUUAGAUAUCACGAAGAACUCCGAUUGCGAAGGCAGUUCACUGGACUGCAACUGACACUGAGGCUCGAAAGUGUGGGUAUCAAACAGGAUUAGAUACCCCAGUAGUC
rnacentral:rRNA from 1 species